UGGUCCAUUAGAGGAAGUAAAAGUCGUAACAAGGUUUCCGUAGGUGAACCUGCGGAAGGAUCAUUAAUGAAUAAACUUGGCUAAGUUGUUGCUGGCUCUUUGAGCAUGUGCACGCUUAGUCCAUCUUUAACCACCUGUGCACCUUCUGUAGGUCUGUAAACACAAGGAAUAGUCAAUUUGCUAGCGAAAGCCAGCUUUGCUUCCUUGUUGUGACCAGAUCUAUGUCUUUAUAUACCCCAUAUGAAUGUAUUCGAAUGUCAUAAUUGGCUUAGUGCCUAUUAAAUCAAAUACAACUUUCAACAACGGAUCUCUUGGCUCUCGCAUCGAUGAAGAACGCAGCGAAAUGCGAUAAGUAAUGUGAAUUGCAGAAUUCAGUGAAUCAUCGAAUCUUUGAACGCACCUUGCGCUCCUUGGUAUUCCGAGGAGCAUGCCUGUUUGAGUGUCAUGAAAUUCUCAACCUUUCUAGCUUUUACGAAGGCUAGGCGGGCUUGGAUCGUGGAGGUUGCUGGUUUUUAUCAAUCAGCUCUUCUUAAAUAUAUUAGCAGUCCUUUGCUGACGAUCAUUGGUAUGAUAAUUAUCUAUAUCAUUGAGACACAGCUUCCCUAGUGGAGAGGCGCCGCUUCUAAUCGUCUUUAUAAGACAACUUGACAACUUUGACCUCAAAUCAGGUAGGACUACCCGCUGAACUUAAGCAUAUCAAUAAGCGGAGGAAAAGAAACUAACAAGGAUUCCCCUAGUAACUGCGAGUGAAGCGGGAAAAGCUCAAAUUUAAAAUCUGGUAGUCUUUGGCUGCCCGAGUUGUAAUCUAGAGAAGCGUUAUCCGUGCUGGACCGUGUAUAAGUCUCCUGGAAUGGAGCGUCAUAGAGGGUGAGAAUCCCGUCUUUGACACGGACUACCAGGGCUUUGUGAUGCGCUC
rnacentral:rRNA from 1 species